rnacentral:rRNA from 1 species
UACGGAGGGUGCGAGCGUUAAUCGGAAUUUCUGGGCGUAAAGGGUGCGUAGGUGGUUAAUUAAGUUAGUUGUGAAAUUCCUGGGCUUAACCUGGGCACUGCAACUAAGACUGAUAGACUCGAGUAUGGGAGAGGGUAGUGGAAUUUCCGGUGUAGCGGUGAAAUGCGUAGAUAUCGGAAGGAACACCAGUGGCGAAGGCGGCUACCUGGCCCAAUACUGACACUGAGGCACGAAAGCGUGGGGAGCAAACAGG